GAUGAACGCUAGCGGGAGGCCUAACACAUGCAAGCCGAGCGGUAUUUGUUCUUCGGAACAGAGAGAGCGGCGCACGGGUGCGGAACACGUGUGCAACCUGCCUUUAUCUGGGGGAUAGCCUUUCGAAAGGAAGAUUAAUACCCCAUAAUAUAUUGAGUGGCAUCAUUUGAUAUUGAAAACUCCGGUGGAUAGAGAUGGGCACGCGCAAGAUUAGAUAGUUGGUGAGGUAACGGCUCACCAAGUCAAUGAUCUUUAGGGGGCCUGAGAGGGUGAUCCCCCACACUGGUACUGAGACACGGACCAGACUCCUACGGGAGGCAGCAGUGAGGAAUAUUGGACAAUGGGUUAGCGCCUGAUCUAGCCAUCCCGCGUGAAGGACGACGGCCCUAUGGGUUGUAAACUUCUUUUGUAUAGGGAUAAACCUACUCUCGUGAGAGUAGCUGAAGGUACUAUACGAAUAAGCACCGGCUAACUCCGUG
rnacentral:rRNA from 1 species